rnacentral:rRNA from 1 species
UUAUACCGUGAAACUGCGAAUGGCUCAUUAAAUCAGUUAUCGUUUAUUUGAUAGUACCUUACUACUUGGAUAACCGUGGUAAUUCUAGAGCUAAUACAUGCUAAAAACCCCAACUUCGGGAGGGGUGUAUUUAUUAGAUAAAAAACCAAUGCCCUUCGGGGCUCUUUGGUGAUUCAUGAUAACUUAACGGAUCGCAUGGCCUUGCGCCGGCGACGGUUCAUUCAAAUUUCUGCCCUAUCAACUUUCGAUGGUAAGGUAUUGGCUUACCAUGGUUUCAACGGGUAACGGGGAAUUAGGGUUCGAUUCCGGAGAGGGAGCCUGAGAAACGGCUACCACAUCCAAGGAAGGCAGCAGGCGCGCAAAUUACCCAAUCCCGACACGGGGAGGUAGUGACAAUAAAUACUGAUACAGGGCUCUUUUGGGUCUUGUAAUUGGAAUGAGUACAAUUUAAACCCCUUAACGAGGAACAAUUGGAGGGCAAGUCUGGUGCCAGCAGCCGCGGUAAUUCCAGCUCCAAUAGCGUAUAUUAAAGUUGUUGCAGUUAAAAAGCUCGUAGUUGAAACUUGGGCCUGGCUGGCCGGUCCGCCUCACCGCGUGUACUGGUCCGGCCGGGCCUUUCCUUCUGGAGAGCCUCAUGCCCUUCACUGGGUGUGUUGGGGAACCAGGACUUUUACUUUGAAAAAAUUAGAGUGUUCAAAGCAGGCCUUUGCUCGAAUACGUUAGCAUGGAAUAAUAGAAUAGGACGUGCGAUCCUAUUUUGUUGGUUUCUAGGACCGCCGUAAUGAUUAAUAGGGAUAGUCGGGGGCAUCAGUAUUCAAUUGUCAGAGGUGAAAUUCUUGGAUUUAUUGAAGACUAACUACUGCGAAAGCAUUUGCCAAGGAUGUUUUCAUUAAUCAGUGAACGAAAGUUAGGGGAUCGAAGACGAUCAGAUACCGUCGUAGUCUUAACCGUAAACUAUGCCGACUAGGGAUCGGGCGAUGUUAUUAUUUUGACUCGCUCGGCACCUUACGAGAAAUCAAA